ensembl:lincRNA Mir9-3hg Mir9-3 host gene
GGGGUGCCAGAAGCAACCUGGCCUCCAAAGUGGCUUAUUGGACAUCUCUGGCCUGAGCUUAGCUCGCGAGGGGCGAUCGGGAGCCUCGGCUGGUAAAGGGGCGGCCUGCCCGGGGCUCGGGACUUGGUCCCGGGCGCUCGCUCUCGGAGCCCGUGCGGUAGGAGCUUAGGCAGAGAUUCCCUUGGCGGCUCCGCACGCACCUCGAGUCCCAGGCCUCCCCGGGCCUACGGAAGCACCGGGCGCCCGCGGCGAAGCCGACUGGGCAAGGCCCUCGGAGCACGGCCUGAGCACACACACUGGACGCCCGGGACCGAAAAGGAGACCCGGAGGAGCAGCCGCGUCCCCUGGGCCUGCGCCAAGGCUUCGGCGGGGCGCGCUGCGGGGCCGGGAGGCCAUUUUGAGAGCGAACGAGCGGCGGCAAGAUGGCUGCGUGGGCACGAGAUUGUCCUGUGAAGGGAAGUGAUGGCACAGGCUCUGAUCAGCUCUUCUGGGAACAGACAGAGAAGUGAGAAUUCCUGCCAAAGCCACAGGAUGAACACAGAGCCAAGAACCUGAACCAGAAAAAUCCAGCAGGAAAGGAACCUGCACUAGCCACCAUCCUGAGGCUGCUGUACAGGGAGCAAUCCUACCGCAGGGACUUGGCAGGAGAACAGGGGCCUGCUCCCCAGUCCUCCUCGAGGGCCUCUGCCACAGACCUGCUUGUCUAGGAUCUCCUUUCUUUCUGCUUGUGCCACAUCUUUCAGGCCUGUUCUGGGUCUGAUGUGCUAUAGAACACUCUGUUCAGGCACUUGGGAAAUAGAGACUUCAUCACCAGCAUUUCCACCCCCAAAGAACUAGGCAGCACACUGGGAAGUUGCCAAAGGAAGGGACUCCAGCCUCCCAGGAGUUAACAACAUUUCUCCCCAGCUAUCCUCCCCUUGGUGCUCCUCUUCCUCCCUCCUCCUGCUCACAGCAGGCAGGGCCUGGAACCAGGAGCCAUGCUGCUGUGCUGUUGCCAGGGGAGCUGGGAGGCAGAUCGGAGCUAUGCAGGGAAAAGGCUCGGCCUGUCAGAGUGUCUGAGAUGAACCACCACCAUCCCUGUGCAGCUGGGCUCCAUGUGUCUCAGGGCUCUUGUUCUGUGCCUGAGAACAGUGAAGCCCAGCGAGGUUCAAGGGCACACUCGCUAUUCAUCAGUCGGGGGUUCUUGACGGUCCUGCCUCUCCCAGGGAUGGGUUCCCCCCUUCCUCUUUCUCUCCCUCCUAUGAUACAUUCCUGGGUGCCUGUGGUGAGGACUGCACACCCCCUUCUCCACAGCCCCCCCCAAACCCUGAAUCAACUCCUAUUAAGGAGGCCAGGCGGGACAGGGACAAUGGCUUCAAGAAAUCAUUCAGGCGGGACCUCAGUCACAUUCGCAUGCCCGUCACUCCCAGAGCCCCUGUAGAUCCCACUCUGCUGUGAUUCAGGGACCCUUGGGCCCCCAGCUUGCACAUGCCUAGACAGGAGCAGGCCACUAGGUGCUGCCCUACACAACAGGCCAGUGCAGUGUUUGUUCUCAGGGACCCUGGGGCCUCCAUCCCACUGGCUGGAUAGUGUGUGCAGUCAGUUGGAGAGCAGAAACUACAAUAUUUUCUGAAAUGUGGUAAUAUCAAGAUAUAAGAGGCACAUAUACGUGAUGACUAAUUUCACUUCAGAUAUACUGGAAAAGUUUGCUAAGAACAUGGACAAAGACCUGUGGUUGAGUAACGAGUCAUUUCAUUCCAUGGAAUAUUACACACCUGUAAGACUGUGGUAGAUCUACCUCUGCAUGCAGGCUGAUAGGGAAGGUUGCUAAUAUACUUAAGUGAAUAGAAUAAAGUACAAAACAGUCAA